rnacentral:miRNA from 14 species
CCGGCUUCCACAUCGAGCCUCAGC